GUCCUGGUGGUCUAGGGGUAUGAUUCAUCCUUAGGGUUAAUAACAGAAUACUGUUAUCCUGUCUGGAUGAGGUCCCGCGUUCAAAUCGCGGCCAGGACC